AGAAUGCAAAGAUUUUUUAGUAAAAAUUGGGUUUGAAUCUGACACUGGAUUUUAUAAUUUGAAUUUCAUACUGCAAUUUAAAGACUAUGAGGAAUUUCUACAGCACGUGAAAACAAGGAUUGACAUCGCCAGUUAUAAUGAAGUUAUUUUAACUGAAAAAUAUAGUUACAUAGGUGAAUUUUAUACUUCAAUCUAUAAUGAAAAACCUCAGGAUCUUGAAGAUAAUGUACUAAAGACUCCACACAGCUAUUGUUCUGAAAUUAUAGACGAUGAAAGU